CCCAGACUCCUACGGGAGGCAGCAGUGGGGAAUAUUGCACAAUGGGCGAAAGCCUGAUGCAGCAACGCCGCGUGAAGGAAGAAGGGUUUCGGCUCGUAAACUUCUAUCAACAGGGACGAAAGAAAUGACGGUACCUGAAUAAGAAGCCCCGGCUAACUACGUGCCAGCAGCCGCGGUAAUACGUAGGGGACGAGCGUUAUCCGGAUUCACUGGGUGUAAAGGGAGCGUAGACGGCCAAGCAAGCCAGGGGUGAAAGCCCGGGGCCCAACCCCGGGACUGCCCUUGGAACUGCACGGCUGGAGUGCGGGAGGGGCAGGCGGAAUUCCUGGUGUAGCGGUGAAAUGCGUAGAUAUCAGGAGGAACACCGGUGGCGAAGGCGGCCUGCUGGACUGCGACUGACGUUGAGGCCCGAAAGCGUGGGGAGCAAACAGGAUUAGAUACCCUAGUAU
rnacentral:rRNA from 1 species